CAGAUACCCGUUUUCGCAGCACUCAGGGAGCGGUUGUUGAAAGAAGUGUGUAUCGAUGCCUCUUCUGCAAUAUUUUAGUGCCAUAUUACGCCUUGAAACGAUUAUAAACGAGUGAAGAGGAGGCUUGGAGGAUGGUUGAAUUACAGUGUCUUCCCAUAUCCAGUAUCCUUCUCUGUAAUCCCUGGGAGAUGUAGAUGAUCUAAUAUGAAAUUGCCUUCAUGGAUUAGAAAGGCACAGAAGUCCAAGAGUAUUGUGUCAUGCCCUUUUGCAUAUGAAAACUUAUGCAACUUGAGAUUUUGUGGGUUUGCACUGGCUUAUUUCUAAAAGAUGAAUACUUAAUGCCUUCACUGUGAUAGUCUCUAGUUAAUGAGGCAGAUAUUAAUGCAAUAAAGGAGGAUCAAGGUAGCAUCAUACUGCAGUGCAGUCAAGUAAGGUUGGGCUAUUUGAUCUGUAACAGUUAUGAAUGACCUGUGAUGACCUGUGGUGAAGCCAUACCUCCUCAUACAAGAUUUUUAAGCAGUUUGUUAAUCAUUCUAAAGAAUGAAGAUUAUGUCGAAGAUUCUGAUUGCAAAGUUUAAUUUCAAACACAGCUGCCAUCAUCUUCACUGCUUUGCCUGGAUUGGUAGGGGAAGAGGCAAAGCCGGAGUGUCCCUAUUAAGCCGACAUUUUAAGACACUUCGAAAAUGAAGGCAUCUGAAAGUUUGAGUGAUGGCGGUCAUCGUUAAAUAUUAUACAAGGGUGAACAAUGGGAUAUUGCCACCGCAUUCCACGUUAAUGUUAUUUCACAUUGAUUGUGGCCAUAUUGGACAAUUUCAGUCUGCAUAGUCAUCAAGUACCUUCUACACUUGGCACCAUUGCUGCCAUCUCAAGUUGAUAGUGGCCACACUGGAGUCAGUCUGCAUAAUGUCAUCAGAUAUGUGGACUACCUGGACUAAACCUCAAUCGAGUUGUGUUGGGGACUACCAAAAGAUGAACCGUGCA